AGAGGCUGUUCUUUAUUUCUGGGUUUUCCAAAAAUGAAGAACAGCUCAUAGUGUCUAUUUUGAGCCCUUGAAUCUAUGCUUUACAAGCUUACUUUGUAUGAUAUAAUGGAUCUAUCUUGUAGUCCGGAUGUGAGGGAACAUUUAAAUAUUAUUAGAUCAUCAUAACAAUAUCACAAUCACAAGAUUCAAGUCGGUUUAACCUUGUCAGAGAAAACGGGUCUUAAAG
rnacentral:lncRNA from 1 species